AAGUGGAAACUUAUUCCUAUUAACUAUUAUGCCUACACGUACAUACCACCUGUUCCAUUUAACAAAAAAAAAGACAUGCUUUAGAUUAAAAUAAUGUUAAAAGGAGGGUACAUAUAUUUUUUCUUAAGAAAGAAACAAGAGAGCACAAAUCUCCUUCCAAAACUCGUCGCCUCUCUCUUCUGCAAAUUCUCAACCAAGAACAUCCCAGAUUUUUUAUUCAAAUUUGCAACACUGGAUCUGAAGAUUACAGAAGCACCCACCAAUUAACUCUCUAUCUCUUCCUCAAUUUCUCUUACAAGAAGACAAAACAAGAUCCCCAAAUUUGUCAGGCUGGAUCGCGUCGUGGUUCGCCCGCUUCGUCACCGUUCAGGUGUGGUCCAUAUCGAGCAGUUGCUGGUCGGUUCCAAUUCGCCACUCCGCGCACACCACCGUCGUCGCUCGGCGUCACCGUUCCGGCAGCCCCGAUUCCACCCGAUUAGCCCCGAGAUCGAAGCUUCAGGUUUCCCCCUUUCCGAAUUUGGUUCCAAAUUUCUGUCAAGAAAAGGUUCUGGUGGGAAAUCACCUUACGAAGAAAAAAAAACAAGGGAAAACCGUGAAAAGAAUGAUUACCGUGUUGAAAUUAGGAUUUGGUUGGGAAAGGAUGAGCUCCUUCAUCCUACUGCUCCCUCCGCAGCCUGAGGAAAUUUUGAGGUGCAAAGUGAGAAUGAGUGACUGCGAAUUUGUGUGAGGAAAAGGGUUUAGGGUAUGGGUAUUAAUAUACCGUGUAUUGAGAGUCAUUUCUGGUGAUUGAUUUCACUUUGAUUGUGGUCACAAAUUAGGAAAGAUUUGCAGAGGAGAAGCGAUUAUGGAGCGUGGGAGGGGAACGUAGAAUAGGUAAUUGAUUCUCAAAAUAAAAGCAAUUAAAGGUGAUUGGGGUUUAUUUUUGGUGCGGAUUGAGGAUUGGUAAAAACGCAAAUGUGCUGAAGGAAUAUUUGCCUUUCAUUGUGUGUAUUUGAUUUCACUAUUAAUUGGGGUUUAAUUGUUACCUUGUCUAAA